rnacentral:tRNA from 1 species
GCGAGGAUGGCGGAAUUGGCAGACGCGCUAGUUUGAGGGGCUAGUGGGCUAAACACCCGUGGGGGUUCAAGUCCCCCUCCUCGCA